rnacentral:rRNA from 1 species
AUACGGGGGGUGCAAGCGUUGUUCGGAAUCAUUGGGCGUAAAGCGGUGUAGGCGGUGAAGUCAGUCGGAUGUGAAAGCCCAGGGCCCAACCCUGGAACUGCAUUCGAAACUGCUUCGCUAGAGUCCCGUAGGGGAAGGCGGAAUUCCCGGUGUAGAGGUGAAAUUCGUAGAUAUCGGGAGGAACACCAGUGGCGAAGGCGGCCUUCUGGACGGUGACUGACGCUCAGAUCCGAAAGCGUGGGGAGCAAACAGCAUUAGAAACCCCGGUAGUCC